rnacentral:misc_RNA from 1 species
GCCAUAUGAGAAUGGUCUUUUCCGUAUGAAGCUGUUACUGUCUAGUGACUUCCCACACUCUCCACCCAAAGGUUUGUGAAUAACUGCCGUUAUGAAUUAAUUAUACUUCAUCAUUGUUUAUUCAAUUUAGUUCCCAAAGGUUUUUGGCAAAGGUGCUUUUGUUUACAUGAUAGUGCAAAGUUCAGUUUCUGUUAGGGAUUGCUAUUCUAGGUAGCUAAAUUUUAUAUGGGCCAAAUGACGAAAAAAUUUCAAAUUUCUAUAUGCAUUUUUCAAUUUUAGUUAAAGCUUUUAAUUUUAUCAAUUUGAUCCUUAAACUUUGAUAUGGAUUUCAAUUUUAUUAAUUAAAUUAUUUUGUACCCAAAAUUACUUAAGUCGAGUUGGAUUUUUUAAUAUAAAUUUUUUGUACUAGUCAGCAUGCUAUGUUAGUGAUUUUAUUUAUGUUGCGACAAUUAAAACUUGAUGUUGUAGGGUAC